UACGUAGGGGGCAAGCGUUGUCCGGAAUCAUUGGGCGUAAAGAGCGUGUAGGCGGCUCGGUAAGUCCGUUCUGAAAGUCCAGGGCUCAACCCUGGGAUGCGGAUGGAUACUGCCGGGCUCGAGUCCGGAAGAGGCGAGUGGAAUUCCCGGUGUAGCGGUGGAAUGCGUAGAGAUCGGGAAGAACAUCAGUGGCGAAGGCGGUCUGCUGGGCCGUUGCUGACGCUGAGGAGCGAAAGCGUGGGGAGCGAACAGG
rnacentral:rRNA from 1 species